AUGCUGCUCCAGCCGACGUACGACCCGCUGCAAGCCGACGUCCCGGCCGUUCAUCCCUUCUCUCCCGCAGUCGGCGCCAAGAGAAACCUAGGGCGCAACUGCGCGGAUCCCUACGAGCCCGACGUCGACGCGGACCUCCGGGCCAAGGAAAGGGACACCAGGGAGCACCCUGACGCCGACUACAUGUCCAAGAUGCAGCAGGGCCACCUGAGCACGUCCAUGCGCGCCGAGCUCGUGCUCUGGAUGGACGCCUUCGCCCGCCACCUCGGCGGUCUCCCGGAGGGCACGCUCUGCCGCGCCGUCGUCUACCUCGACCGCGUCCUAUCCGUGCGCCCUGUGCCGGCCCACGACGAGGCGCUCCAACUCGUUGCCGCCGCCGCCGUCUCCCUCGGGGCCAAGUACGAGCAGUCCGCCAGCGGUCGGAGGCUCGACGCCCAAGUCGUCGAGGCGUUCCUCGGGACCACCGUGCACGCAGUGGAGGAGAUGGAGGGGGAGCUCGUCAUGGAUCUCAGCUGCGUCAUGGACGGCCCGACCGCGUACACGUUCGUCGAGCACUUCACGAGGUUCUUCGAGCGAGAAGACGAGUUCUUGGUGAGGUCCCUGGCGCUUCGGUUGGUCAACCUGACGUUGGCGUUUUUCGGGUUCGUUGGGCGGAUCCUGCCGUCCGCCGUGGCUGCAUCGGCGCUGUUCCUCGCCAGGCAGAUCCUCGGCGUGCAGUUGAGCAACGAUCUGGAGGAGGUGACGGGGUACAAGGCAGUGGACUUGAUGGGUUGCAUAUGCUCCUUGGUGGAGCUGCUUCCUAGGAAAAAACUCUAA
rnacentral:rRNA from 1 species